rnacentral:rRNA from 1 species
GUCUCUUGUGAAAUCUAAUGGCUUAACCAUUAAACUGCUUGGGAAACUGAUAGUCUAGAGUGAGGGAGAGGCAGAUGGAAUUGGUGGUGUAGGGGUAAAAUCCGUAGAUAUCACCAAGAAUACCCAUUGCGAAGGCGAUCUGCUGGAACUCAACUGACGCUAAGGCGCGAAAGCGUGGGGAGCAAACAGGAUUAGAUACCCUGGUAGUCCACGCCCUAAACGAUGUACACUAGUUGUUGGGGUGCUAGUCAUCUCAGUAAUGCAGCUAACGCAUUAAGUGUACCGCCUGGGGAGUACGGUCGCAAGAUUAAAACUCAAAGGAAUAGACGGGGACCCGCACAAGCGGUGGAGCAUGUGGUUUAAUUCGAAGAUACGCGAAGAACCUUACCUGGGCUUGAUAUCCUAAGAACCUUUUAGAGAUAAGAGGGUGCUAGCUUGCUAGAACUUAGAGACAGGUGCUGCACGGCUGUCGUCAGCUCGUGUCGUGAGAUGUUGGGUUAAGUCCCGCAACGAGCGCAACCCACGUAUUUAGUUGCUAACGGUUCGGCCGAGCACUCUAAAUAGACUGCCUUCGUAAGGAGGAGGAAGGUGUGGACGACGUCAAGUCAUCAUGGCCCUUAUGCCCAGGGCGACACACGUGCUACAAUGGCAUAUACAAUGAGACGCAAUACCGCGAGGUGGAGCAAAUCUAUAAAAUAUGUCCCAGUUCGGAUUGUUCUCUGCAACUCGAGAGCAUGAAGCCGGAAUCGCUAGUAAUCGUAGAUCAGCCAUGCUACGGUGAAUACGUUCCCGGGUCUUGUACUCACCGCCCGUCACACCAUGGGAGUUGAUUUCACUCGAAGCCGGAAUACUAAACUAGUUACCGUCCACAGUGGAAUCAGCGACUGGGGUGAAGUCGUAACAAGGUAACCGUAGGAGAACCUGCGGUUGGAUCACCUCCUUU